rnacentral:tRNA from 1 species
AAAACUUUAAGUUAAAUUUAAACUAAUAAUCUUCAAAAUUAUAAAUAAUUCAUAAUAAUUAAGUUUUA